AACGUAGGAGACAAACGUUAUCCGGAGUUACUGGGCGUAAAGGGCGUGUAGGUGGUUGCGUAAGUCUGGCGUGAAAUUUUUCGGCUUAACCGGGAAAGGUCGUCGGAUACUGCGGAACUCGAGGACGGUAGAGGCGUGUGGAAUUCCGGGUGUAGUGGUGAAAUGCGUAGAGAUCCGGAGGAACACCAGUGGCGAAGGCGACACGCUGGGCCGUACCUGACACUGAUGCGCGACAGCAUGGGGAGUAAACAGG
rnacentral:rRNA from 1 species